rnacentral:rRNA from 1 species
AUUGAACGCUGGCGGCAGGCCUAACACAUGCAAGUCGAACGGUAACAGGAAGAAGCUUGCUUCUUUGCUGACGCGUGGCGGACGGGGGAGUAAUGUCUGGGAAACUGCCUGAUGGCGGGGGAUAACUACUGGAAACGGUAACUAAUACCGCAUAACGUCGCAACACCAAAGAGGAGGACCUUCUGGCCUCUUGCCAUCGGAUGUGCGCAGAUGGGAUUAGCUAGUAGGUGGGGUAACGGCUCACCUAGGCGACGAUCCCUAGCUGGUCUGAGAGGAUGACCAGCCACACUGGAACUGAGACACGGUCCAGACUCCUACGGGAGGCAGCAGUGGGGAAUAUUGCACAAUGGGCGCAAGCCUGAUGCAGCCAUGCCGCGUGUAUGAAGAAGGCCUUCGGGUUGUAAAGUACUUUCAGCGGGGAGGAAGGGAGUAAAGUUAAUACCUUUGCUCAUUGACGUUACCCGAAGAAGAAGCACCGGCUAACUACGUG